UACGGAGGGGGCUAGCGUUGUUCGGAAUUACUGGGCGUAAAGCGCGCGUAGGCGGACCUGCAAGUCGGGGGUGUAAGCCCGAGGCUCAACCUCGGAACUGCCUUCGAUACUGCGGGUCUCGAGUCCGGGAGAGGUGAGUGGAAUUCCUAGUGUAGAGGUGAAAUUCGUAGAUAUUCGCAAGAACACCAGUGGCGAAGGCGGCUUACUGGUCCGGUUCUGACGCUGAGGCGCGAAAGCGUGGGGAGCAAACAGG
rnacentral:rRNA from 1 species